GUUGACAGAUGCAUUGAUGCAGAUUAAGAAAACAAAGAACUAACAAGGAAAAGUAAUAGAAAGGAUAUCGCCGCAUCUCCUCUGUGCCAGGGUGGGUGACCUUCCUAGCUGCUCCCCGAACCUCCCAGAGGAACAGGGGAGUGUCCCCUGCAGCUAACCGUGCCAGCUGGUUGGGCAAGCCAAAACGGGCUUCUGGUGGGCAUGGCGGCAACCUGGUCCAAGACAUCUAGCAUGUCUGAAUAUCUGAAUGGAUUUAGGUGAAUCACUGUACAGUGGGAGCAAGAAUGUUAGAACAUAGAACAGAAAAAGGGAAUUGAAGUACCUUAAGCCCCUCUUAAAAAUUCACCAAGAGAAUAUGGAAGUACAGAAGGUAAAGGAAGGAUUUAACAAUCAUAUGGAAGAAAUGGAAUCAACCUAAAUGAACAGCAGUUUAAUGGAGAGCUCUCCUACCUUCCAAGAGGCCGACACAUGCCAUGCUGAAGCAGCUAUGGCCCUGCAGCCCAUGAAGGUCCAUAGUGGAGCAGAGAUUCACCUGUAGCCUGAGAACCCACACCAGAACAUGUGGAUACUCAAAGGAGGCUGUGAUCCCUGGGCAAGACCUGGAGCUAUGCCAGGCUCCAGGUAGGACCUGUGGACCCUUGGAGAGAGGAGCUCACUCUGGAGCAGGUGUGCUGGCAGGACUUGUGACCCACAGGAGGCCCACGCUGGAGCAGCCUGUCCCUGAAGGACUGGAUUCCAGGGAAUGCAACCACACCAGAGAAGUUUGUGAAGGAACCACGUUGGAGAAGCUCAUGAAGCUUCCCUCUUAAGUGAGGAGCAGAGGAAAAGUGUGAGAGGUCCUCCUCCUGAGGAGGAAGGAGAGGAAUAGAAAGCUUGUGGUGAACUGACCACAGCCCUCAUUCCUCAUCCCUCUGGGCCACUCAGGGGAGGAAGAGGAUUUCAAAGUAAAGCCCAGAAAAAAGGGAAAGGUGGAUUGAAGGUUUUUAAGAUUUGUUUUUA